AAAUUGAAGAGUUUGAUCAUGGCUCAGAUUGAACGCUGGCGGCAGGCCUAACACAUGCAAGUCGAACGGUAACAGGAAGCAGCUUGCUGCUUCGCUGACGAGUGGCGGACGGGUGAGUAAUGUCUGGGAAACUGCCUGAUGGAGGGGGAUAACUACUGGAAACGGUGGCUAAUACCGCAUAACGUCGCAAGACCAAAGAGGGGGACCUUCGGGCCUCUUGCCAUCAGAUGUGCCCAGAUGGGAUUAGCUGGUUGGUGAGGUAACGGCUCACCAAGGCGACGAUCCCUAGCUGGUCUGAGAGGAUGACCAGCCACACUGGAACUGAGACACGGUCCAGACUCCUACGGGAGGCAGCAGUGGGGAAUAUUGCACAAUGGGCGCAAGCCUGAUGCAGCCAUGCCGCGUGUAUGAAGAAGGCCUUCGGGUUGUAAAGUACUUUCAGCGGGGAGGAAGGUGUUGUGGUUAAUAACUGCAGCAAUUGACGUUACCCGCAGAAGAAGCACCGGCUAACUCCGUGCCA
rnacentral:rRNA from 1 species